UACCAGCACCCCGAGUGGUCGGGACGUUUAUUGGGCCUAAAGCAUCCGUAGCCGGUUCUACAAGUCUUCCGUUAAAUCCAGCUGCUUAACAGAUGGGUUGCGGAAGAUACUAUGGAGCUAGGAGGCGGGAGAGGCAAGCGGUACUCGAUGGGUAGGGGUAAAAUCCGUUGAUCCAUUGAAGACCACCAGUGGCGAAGGCGGCUUGCCAGAACGCGCUCGACGGUGAGGGAUGAAAGCUGGGGGAGCAAACAGG
rnacentral:rRNA from 1 species